CAGCCGCCGCGGUAAUACGAACCGUGCGAACGUUAUUCGGAAUCACUGGGCUUAAAGCGCGUGUAGGCGGGCCGUCACGUCGGCUGCUGAAAUCCCCCGGCUCAACCGGGGAACUGGCACCGAUACGAGCGGCCUUGAGGGGGGUAGGGGGGUCCGGAACUUCCGGUGGAGCGGUGAAAUGCGUUGAGAUCGGAAGGAACGCCCGUGGCGAAAGCGAGGCCCUGGACCCUUACUGACGCUGAGACGCGAAAGCCAGGGGAGCGAACGGGAUUAGAUACCCCGGUAGUCCCUGUCUCUUAUA
rnacentral:rRNA from 1 species